rnacentral:rRNA from 1 species
AUUGAACGCUGGCGGCAGGCCUAACACAUGCAAGUCGAGCGGAGCGGCGGUCGGGUGAGUAAUGCCUAUGAAUCUGCCUGUCAGCGGGGGAUAACGUCCGGAAACGGGCGCUAAUACUGCCUCCUCUCUCACGCGCCUAGGCCGGAUUAGGUAGUUGGUGGGGUAAAGGCCUACCAAGGCGACGAUCCGUACCUGGUCUGUGAGGAUGAGCAGUCACACUGGAACUGAGACACGGUCCAGACUCCUACGGGAGGCAGCAGUGGGGAAUAUUGGACAAUGGGCGAAAGCCUGAUGCAGCCAUGCCGCGUGUAUGAAGAAGGUCUUCGGAUUGUAAAGCACUUUAAGUUGGGAGGCGUUACCCACAGAAGAAGCACCGGCUAACUUCGUGCCAGCAGCCGCGGUAAUAC